UGGGGAAUCUUGCGCAAUGGACGAAAGUCUGACGCAGCGACGCCGCGUGGGUGAUGAAGGCCUUCGGGUUGUAAAGCCCUGUGGGGAGAGACGAAUAAGUAGAAGCUAAUACCUUCUAUGAUGACGGUAUCUCUUUAGCAAGCACCGGCUAACUCUGUGCCAGCAGCCGCGGUAAGACAGAGGGUGCAAACGUUGUUCGGAAUUACUGGGCGUAAAGCGUGUGUAGGCGGCUGCGUAAGUCGGAUGUGAAAGCCCCAGGCUCAACCUGGGAAGUGCACUCGAUACUGCGCAGCUUGAGUAUCGGAGAGGUUGGUGGAAUUCUCGGUGUAGAGGUGAAAUUCGUAGAUAUCGAGAGGAACACCGGUGGCGAAGGCGGCCAACUGGACGAAUACUGACGCUGAGACACGAAAGCGUGGGGAGCAAACA
rnacentral:rRNA from 1 species